rnacentral:misc_RNA from 1 species
GAUGAAGAACGUAGCGAAAUGCGAUAAGUAAUGUGAAUUGCAGAAUUCAGUGAAUCAUCGAAUCUUUGAACGCACAUUGCGCCCAUUAGCAUUCUAGUGGGCAUGCCUGUUCGAGCGUCAUUUCAACCCUUAAGCCCUGUUGCUUAGCGUUGGGAGCCUACAGUACUGUGGCUCCCCAAAGUUAGUGGCGGAGUCGGUUUCACACUCUAGACGUAGUAAUUUUUUCUCGUCUGUAGUUGAGCCGGUCCCCUGCCGUAAAACACCCAAUUUAUCAAGGUUGACCUCGGAUCAGGUAGGAAUACCCGCUGAACUUAAGCAUAUCAAUAAGCGGAGGA